rnacentral:rRNA from 1 species
AUUGAACGCUGGCGGCAGGCCUAACACAUGCAAGUCGAGCGAGCGGCGGACGGGUGUGUAAUGUAUGGGGACUGCCCGAUAGAGGGGGAUAACUACUGGAAACGGUAGCUAAUACCGCAUACUAUCGGAUAACCCAUAUGGGAUUGGCUAGUAGGUGAGGUAAUGGCUCACCUAGGCGACGAUCCCUAUCUGGUCUGAGAGGAUGAUCAGCCAAACUGGGACUGAGACACGGCCCAGACGCGUACGGAGGCAGAAGUGGGGAAUAUUGCACGAUGGGCGCAAGCCUGAUGCAGCCAUGCCGCAUGUAUGAAGAAGGACCUCGGGUUGUAAAGUACUUUCAGUCGGGAAGCGUUACCGACAGAAGAAGCACCGGCUAACUCCGUGCCAGCAGCCGCGGUAAUAC